UACAGAGGUCUCAAGCGUUGUCGAUGAUUGGUGCGUAAAGGGUGCGUAGGCGGCGCGGUAAGUCGGGUGUGAAAUCUCGGAGCUUAACUCCGAAACUGCAUUCGAUACUGCCGUGCUUGAGGACUGGAGAGGAGACUGGAAUUUACGGUGUAGCGGUGAAAUGCGUAGAUAUCGUAAGGAAGACCAGUGGCGAAGGCGGGUCUCUGGACAGUUCCUGACGCUGAGGCACGAAGGUCAGGGGAGCAAACGGG
rnacentral:rRNA from 1 species